rnacentral:rRNA from 1 species
AUUGAACGCAGGCGGCAUACCUUACACAUGCAAGUCGAACGGUAACAGGUCUUCGGAUGCUGACGAGUGGCGAACGGGUGAGUAAUACAUCGGAACGUGCCUAGUAGUGGGGGAUAACUACUCGAAAGAGUGGCUAAUACCGCAUGAGAUCUACGGAUGAAAGCAGGGGAUCGCAAGACCUUGUGCUACUAGAGCGGCCGAUGGCAGAUUAGGUAGUUGGUGGGAUAAAAGCUUACCAAGCCGACGAUCUGUAGCUGGUCUGAGAGGACGAUCAGCCGCACUGGGACUGAGACACGGCCCAGACUCCUACGGGAGGCAGCAGUGGGGAAUUUUGGACAAUGGGCGCAAGCCUGAUCCAGCAAUGCCGCGUGCAGGAUGAAGGCCUUCGGGUUGUAAACUGCUUUUGUACGGAACGAAAAGCCCUGGGUUAAUACCCUGGGGUCAUGACGGUACCGUAAGAAUAAGCACCGGCUAACUACGUGCCAGCCGCCGCAGUAAUAC